rnacentral:lncRNA from 1 species
GUUCUGACUAAUGGAGUGAGUGAGGAAGUUUCUCAGUUUGGAUUCUACAAAAGGCUUUGCAGCUGUCACAUUAUCUUUGGCCAACCUUUUCCCUUCUUGGCCUGACACACUAGCAAAUGUGCAGAAAAGCAUACGCCAAUAACAGUUGUGGGGAAGAGGACCAGGAGACACAGACAAUGGAGUAGGAUGCUGAAAAGAUCAUGUCUGCAAAGGUUUAAUAAACCUUCGUGCCAUCCCUGCUUGGUCUAUCCUCGGGCCUCCCAGUAUCCACAAGAAACAGAAUUAUUUCUUUAAGGAUGAAGCUUGAGAGAAAUGGGGAUUUAGCAUGCCUUCUGCACAUAAGGUUGGAUGGCACAUUGGGAAUUCAGUUAGAAAUUUCACUGCUCUAUCAAUGACUGGAGAAGGGCCUGUACAUCAGCUUUCUCAUGUGCCUGGAAGCCCUCUGGAUCUGGAGUUUUAUUUGGAGGAUGUUUGAAAUUACUCUUCAGCUUCUCUUAAAGAUGGCAGGUUAUAAAGUUUUACACAUCUGCUUUAGUCAGUUUGAUCCCUUACAUUUCCCCCGAAAUUUAACCAUUUCACAACACAAUUCAAAUCAAUCGAGGUAAACUUGUUUGUGAUAUUGUCCUGGCAGCUCGAUAGCUACAGGCUAGCGCUCUCUCUCUCUCUCUCUCUCUCUCUCUCUCUCUCUCUCUCUCUCUCUCUCUCUCUCUCUCUCCCUUAGUGUUUCUGUUCUUGCUACCUGUGCUCCCCCUCUUCUUCUCUAGCUCCAUCCCAAUGAGUGUUGAUGCCAACAAAGGCCCCUUUCAAAAGAAAUAGGCAUCCCUAGCUAUACUAUUUCAGGCAAUUAUUGUCUUGUUUUAAUUUCUUUAUUGUUUCAGAGUCUUACUCUGCAGCCCUGGGUAACUGGGCGUUCACUAUAAACUGGGCUAGCCUAGAACUUGCCUCUGCUUCCCAAGUCCUGAGAUUAAACACAUGCACCACCACUCCUGGCCUGUUUUUUUAAAUUUUUAAAAUGCCUCCAGCUCUAUGUUCGUUGCUUCUCCAUCCAAAAUUACUUGGGCGUAAACUGUUAUCCAAUUCUGAGUGUUCAGCUGAAAUGUCUAGUUUGUAGUUUUUGGAAACCUGCUUCAUGGGGGCUUAAUGCUAUAAAUUUCUAAGUGUGGCUUUAGUUGCAUCCCAUAUAGAAAUGUACUUAUUUAUUUUCUAAUUUUGGAAUUCUUUUUCUCUGAUAUAUGAGUUAUCCAUAACUACAUUUUUUCUAAACUUCCAGACAUAUGGGAACUUUGCAUUAUAUUUUGGCAUUGCUUUCUAGCUUAAUUGUACCAUAGUAAAUAUAAUUUAUAUGUAUAAAUUAUAUAUAUAAAUUAUAUAUAAAAAUUAUAUAUAUAUAUGCACACACAUACAUCAAGACGUCUGUCUUAAACUCUCCAAGGCUUGCUGGGGAAAACUGAAUUAAUUUCCCAACAUGCCCCACUCUUUGUAUUUCCUUCUGCAGUAGAAUUGGCUAUAAUCAUCCUUCCUGUCCCGCUGAUGUCAUUUUGAAAUCACAAUGUCUGGUUUAUCCAAUAAAUUGCAAGUAGAGAGAGUUCAGAACUCCCGCUGUCCACCCUUGUCCCAGACAGAGACAGCUUUGUCAUUCUAAAUCAAAUCAUGGAAUGAUGAACAUGUGUCGAUGGAUCUCAGUGGCCCCUGGGCUCAUGUCAUUAGAGCAUAGUUCAGACUCUGCAGUGGGUGCUGGGGACUGAACUCAGGUCCUCUGAAAGAGCACCAAACUCUCUUAACCACUGAUUCAUCUCUCCAGCCACUUGGAUAUUUUUUUAAUCCAUAUAAAACUGUCAAAAGCCAGGUGGUGGUGGCACAUGUCUUUAAUCCCAUCACUCAGGAGGCAGAGGCAGGCAGAUCUCUGUGAGUUUGAGGCCAGCCUGGUCUACAGAGCAAGUGCCAGGAUAGGCUCCAAAGCUACAGAGAAACCCUGUCUAGAAAAAAAAAAACUGUCAAUCAGCCCAAUUUAUUUCUCUUUCAUUUCCUCUGCCCCCAUUUUAUUUUUAUCAAGUUCCAAAUUCCAAAUUCCACUUAUACUUGUUGGUAUAAGUGCUACUUCAUAAUCUCCUUUACAAUUUCCCUUACCUUUUACCUUUCUGUGCUGUGGUCUGGAGUUAAUUGUUUUUUUAUUAUUCCCUGCUGACUUGAGUCUUCUCAAAACCACCACCUCAUAAGUCUUAAUGUUUUAUUUAUUACAAGUUACCUGUCAUGACAACCCCAAUAUUUGGAACCCCUAAGUAGUCUCAUUUUUUCCUUUGGCUUUCAUGCUCAGGAGACAUGAUAUACUGCAUGUUUCAACCAAAUAGAUUAAUCCUGUUUGUAUUGUUUUUACAAAAUUGCAUGGAGAAAUAAAUCCAGGUCCUCGUGGAUGUUUGCUGUUUGGCUUCUAGGGUACCCUGAGACUCUGGGACCCUGAGGUUUAAUGUUAAUCAGUCACUUGAAGUGUCAUUUCCACAAAGGAUUUCUCUUCACUUCUAGCCCUAAAGGGCCUCAACUCAAAUCUCAAGCUGCUCAUAGCAUCUUUCUUCAUAUCAG